rnacentral:rRNA from 1 species
UACAGAGGGGGCAAGCGUUGUUCGGAAUUACUGGGCGUAAAGGGCGCGUAGGCGGCCUUCUAAGUCGAACGUGAAAUCCCCGGGCUCAACCCGGGAACUGCGUCCGAUACUGGAAGGCUUGAAUCCGGGAGAGGGAUGCGGAAUUCCAGGUGUAGCGGUGAAAUGCGUAGAUAUGUGGAGGAACACCGAUGGCGAAGGCAGCCCCCUGGGAUGUGACUGACGCUCAUGUACGAAAGCGUGGGGAGCAAACAGG